CCUCCCUUCAUGCUACUCAAUUGGGUUAAGGUCCAGUUAUUGACUUGGCCAGUCUAAAACCUUCAGCUUUUUCUCCCUGAUAAAGUCCUUUGUUGUGUUGGUGUUACAAUUUGGAGGUGGAGACAGAUGCAAGUGCAGAUUUUCAGUUUUAAUGAAGAUGCCUAACAAAAAGCAAAACAAGAGCUAUGAACAGCGAGUGAAACACUAAAGUAAGAAUUAAAUAUUAACAAAGACCUUGAAUACAAAAAUAGUAUCAACCGCAACAAAUGACAAAUCUAGGAGUGCAGUGCAAAUUGUGGCUAUAUACACAUAAGUGCUCAUUAAGUGAAUGUGAUUCAGGUGUAGCACCCAGGUGUGGGUUAUCAGCUUUAGCAGGGUGAAAAGAGAGACGUCCAGUGGAACAGGAUGGCAGAACUUAAUCGGCCUUGUCUGCAGACUCUGGUGUCAGCAGUUUUUGGCGUCAGCAGAACUUGGUUGGCGUCAACCUCAGACAGGGACUGGGUGUGCUCUUUGAGGUUCAAGUGUGAGGGGGGUCUCUUCCACAAGUCAUCAGAUUACAGAGUAGCCAUUAACUUCAGCUGCAACCACUUCAGCAGAAGGACAGGGAGAUGGAGAGGAGAACCUAUGGGAUCUCUUGGACAAUAAGAUAAGUGAGACACAAAGUUCCACGAUGUCACUGCAGAUGCAAAAGUUGAAGUACAACUAUACUUAAAUACACGUUACGUUAACAGAACAAGUGAUCCACUGGAGUUUUGGGAAAAACAUCAAACUUUCUUCCUUCAUUUCUUCCACCUUGCCAAAAAAUGUCAAUACCAGCUACAUCUGUGCCAUGUGAAUGAGUUUUUUUUUGUUGUUGUUGUUGUUGUUUUCCAAAGUAGGAGAAGUUCUGUGCAAGAAGAUUAAGUGCUAAAACACUAGACCAACUUCUGUUCUUAAAUAAAA
ensembl:lncRNA